GACGAACCGUGCGAACGUUGUUCGGAAUCACUGGGCUUAAAGGGCGCGUAGGCGGCUUGCCAAGUCGGGGGUGAAAUACUUCAGCUUAACUGGAGAAGUGCCUUCGAUACUGGCGGGCUUGAGGGAGGUAGGGGUCUUUGGAACUUCUGGUGGAGCGGUGAAAUGCGUUGAUAUCAGAAGGAACGCCGGUGGCGAAGGCGGCAUCCUGGACCGACACUGACGCUGAGGAGCGAAAGCCAGGGGAGCAAAGCGGG
rnacentral:rRNA from 1 species